GAGUUUGAUCCUGGCUCAGAUUGAACGCUGGCGGCAUGCCUUACACAUGCAAGUCGAACGGCAGCAUGAUCUAGCUUGCUAGAUUGAUGGCGAGUGGCGAACGGGUGAGUAAUACAUCGGAACGUGCCCUGUAGUGGGGGAUAACUAGUCGAAAGAUUAGCUAAUACCGCAUACGACCUGAGGGUGAAAGUGGGGGACCGCAAGGCCUCACGCUAUAGGAGCGGCCGAUGUCUGAUUAGCUAGUUGGUGGGGUAAAGGCCCACCAAGGCGACGAUCAGUAGCUGGUCUGAGAGGACGAUCAGCCACACUGGGACUGAGACACGGCCCAGACUCCUACGGGAGGCAGCAGUGGGGAAUUUUGGACAAUGGGCGAAAGCCUGAUCCAGCAAUGCCGCGUGUGUGAAGAAGGCCUCGG
rnacentral:rRNA from 1 species